GACGAACGCUGGCGGCGUGCUUAACACAUGCAAGUCGAACGGUAAGGCCCUUCGGGGUACACGAGUGGCGAACGGGUGAGUAACACGUGGGUGAUCUGCCCUGCACUUCGGGAUAAGCCUGGGAAACUGGGUCUAAUACCGGAUAGGACCACUGCCUGCAUGGGUGGUGGUGGAAAGCUUUUGCGGUGUGGGAUGGGCCCGCGGCCUAUCAGCUUGUUGGUGGGGUGAUGGCCUACCAAGGCGACGACGGGUAGCCGGCCUGAGAGGGUGACCGGCCACGCUGGGGCUGAGAUACGGCCCAGACUCCUACGGGAGGCAGCAGGGGGGAAUAUUGCACAAUGGGCGCAAGCCUGAUGCAGCGACGCCGCGUGAGGGAUGACGGCCUUCGGGUUGUAAACCUCUUUCAGCACCGACGAAGCGCAAGCGACGGUAGGUGCAGAAGAAGGACCGGCCAACUACGUGCCAGCAGCCGCCGUAA
rnacentral:rRNA from 1 species